GACGAACGCUGGCGGCGUGCUUAACACAUGCAAGUCGAGCGGUAAGGCCCUUUCGGGGGUACGACGAGCGGCGAACGGGUGAGUAACACGUGGGUGACCUGCCUUCAGCUCUGGGAGUAAGCCUGGGAAACGUAGGGUCGUAAUAACUGGAUAUUACUCUGCGGUGCAUGCCGUGGGGUGGAAAGCCUUGUGCGGCUGGGGAGUGGGCCCGCGGCCUAUCAGCUUGUUGGUGGGGUGAUGGCCUACCAAGGCGACGACGGGUAGCCGGCCUGAGAGGGCGACCGG
rnacentral:rRNA from 1 species